rnacentral:rRNA from 1 species
UACGGAGGGGGCUAUCGUUGUUCGGAAUUACUGGACGUAAAGCGCACGUAGGCGGAUUUGUAAGUCAGGGGUGAAAUCCCGGGGCUCAACCUCGGAACUGCCUUUGAUACUGCAAAUCUCGAGUCCGGAAGAGGUGAGUGGAAGUCCUAGUGUAGAGGUGAAAUUCGUAGAUAUUAGGAAGAACACCAGUGGCGAAGGCGGCUCACUGGUCCGGUACUGACGCUGAGGUGCGAAAGCGUGGGGAGCAAACAGG